rnacentral:rRNA from 1 species
AUUGAACGCUGGCGGCAGGCUUAACACAUGCAAGUCGAGCGGGGGAAGGUAGCUUGCUACCGGACCUAGCGGCGGACGGGUGAGUAAUGCUUAGGAAUCUGCCUAUUAGUGGGGGACAACAUCUCGAAAGGGAUGCUAAUACCGCAUACGUCCUACGGGAGAAAGCAGGGGAUCUUCGGACCUUGCGCUAAUAGAUGAGCCUAAGUCGGAUUAGCUAGUUGGUGGGGUAAAGGCCUACCAAGGCGACGAUCUGUAGCGGGUCUGAGAGGAUGAUCCGCCACACUGGGACUGAGACACGGCCCAGACUCCUACGGGAGGCAGCAGUGGGGAAUAUUGGACAAUGGGGGGAACCCUGAUCCAGCCAUGCCGCGUGUGUGAAGAAGGCCUUAUGGUUGUAAAGCACUUUAAGCGAGGAGGAGGCUACUUUAGUUAAUACCUAGAGAUAGUGGACGUUACUCGCAGAAUAAGCACCGGCUAACUCUGUGCCAGCAGCAGCCGCAGUAA